rnacentral:rRNA from 1 species
AAAGGAAGAAGAUCUAAGAAUGCUUCUUUAAGAAGCUUUCUUGAUGGAGGGGAGUGGCAGACGGGUGAGUAACGCGUGGGAACAUACCCUUUUCUACGGAAUAGCUCUGGGAAACUGGAAUUAAUACCGUAUACGCCCUACGGGGGAAAGAUUUAUGGGGGAAGGAUUGGCCCGCGGUGGAUUAGCUAGUUGGUGGGGUAAAAGCCUAACAAGGGGACGAGCCAUGGCUGGUCUGGGAGGAUGAUCAGCCACAUUGUGAAUGGGACACGGCCCAAAGUCCUACGGGAGGCAGGAGUGGUGAAUAUUGGACAAUGGGCGAAAGCCUGAUCCAGCAAUGCCGCGUGUUUGAUGAAGGCCUUAGGGUUGUAAAGCUCUUUUACCAGGGAUGAUAAUGACAGUACCUGGAGAAUAAGCUCCGGCUAACUCCGUGCCAGCAGCCGCCGCGG